UGCGGGAUUGUGUAAUGGUAGCACGAGUGACUCUGACUCACUUCGUGAGGGUUCAAAUCCUUCUCCCGCAGCCA
rnacentral:tRNA from 1 species